AUCUAUGUCCAUACCACCAUGAACUUACCCGCUCUUGUUGAUCUCGGAAGCUAAGCAGGGUUGGGCCUUGUUAGUACUUGGAUGGGAGGAAAAAAAUGGAAAUUAGUGUCUACAGGGGUU
rnacentral:rRNA from 1 species